rnacentral:piRNA from 1 species
UGACGGCCAUGGUCUGCCCAGAUG